UUAUCCGGAUUUAUUGGGUUUAAAGGGAGCGUAGGCGGACGCUUAAGUCAGUUGUGAAAGUUUGCGGCUCAACCGUAAAAUUGCAGUUGAUACUGGGUGUCUUGAGUACAGUAGAGGCAGGCGGAAUUCGUGGUGUAGCGGUGAAAUGCUUAGAUAUCACGAAGAACUCCGAUUGCGAAGGCAGCUUGCUGGACUGUAACUGACGCUGAUGCUCGAAAGUGUGGGUAUCAAACAGGAUUAGAUACCCUGGUAGUCCACACAGUAAACGAUGAAUACUCGCUGUUUGCGAUAUACAGUAAGCGGCCAAGCGAAAGCGUUAAGUAUUCCACCUGGGGGGUACGCCGGCAACGGUGAAACUCAA
rnacentral:rRNA from 1 species